rnacentral:rRNA from 1 species
GACGAACGCUGGCGGCGUGCUUAACACAUGCAAGUCGAACGGAAAGGCCCUGCUUGCAGGGUACUCGAGUGGCGAACGGGUGAGUAACACGUGGGUGAUCUGCCCUGCACUUCGGGAUAAGCCUGGGAAACUGGGUCUAAUACCGGAUAGGAGCCAUUUUUAGUGUGAUGGUUGGAAAGUUUUUUCGGUGUAGGAUGAGCUCGCGGCCUAUCAGCUUGUUGGUGGGGUAAUGGCCUACCAAGGCGGCGACGGGUAGCCGGCCUGAGAGGGUGGACGGCCACAUUGGGACUGGGAUACGGCCCAGACUCCUACGGGGAGCAGCAGUGGGGAAUAUUGCACAAUGGGCGCAAGCCUGAUGCAGCGACGCCGCGUGGGGGAUGACGGCCUUCGGGUUGUAAACUCCUUUCGCUAGGGACGAAGCUUUUUGUGACGGUACCUAGAUAAGAAGCACCGGCUAACUACGUG